UUUUCCUACGGGACGCAGCAGUGGGGAAUAUUGGACAAUGGGGGAAACCCUGAAGCAGCAACGCCGCGUGGAGGAUGAAGGUUUUAGGAUUGUAAACUCCUUUUGUGAGAGAAGAUAAUGACGGUAUCUCACGAAUAAGCACCGGCUAACUCCGUGCCAGCAGCCGCGGUAAUACGGAGGGUGCAAGCGUUACUCGGAAUCACUGGGCGUAAAGAGUGCGCAGGCGGGCUUGUAAGUCAGAUGUGAAAUCCUGUAGCUUAACUACAGAACUGCAUUUGAA
rnacentral:rRNA from 1 species